GGAGAAGUACCCAAGUGGCUGAAGGGUCCGCACUCGAAAUGCGGUAGGCCUGGUAUCCCCGGGCGCAAGGGUUCAAAUCCCUUCUUCUCCGCCA
rnacentral:tRNA from 1 species